rnacentral:rRNA from 1 species
AUUGAACGCUGGCGGCAUGCUUUACACAUGCAAGUCGGACGGCAGCACAGAGAAGCUUGCUUCUUGGGUGGCGAGUGGCGAACGGGUGAGUAACGUAUCGGAACGUACCGAGUAAUGGGGGAUAACUAAUCGAAAGAUUAGCUAAUACCGCAUAUUCUCUGAGGAGGAAAGCAGGGGACCUUCGGGCCUUGCGUUAUUCGAGCGGCCGAUAUCUGAUUAGCUAGUUGGUGGGGUAAAGGCCUACCAAGGCGACGAUCAGUAGCGGGUCUGAGAGGAUGAUCCGCCACACUGGGACUGAGACACGGCCCAGACUCCUACGGGAGGCAGCAGUGGGGAAUUUUGGACAAUGGGCGCAAGCCUGAUCCAGCCAUGCCGCGUGUCUGAAGAAGGCCUUCGGGUUGUAAAGGACUUUUGUCAGGGAAGAAAAGGCUGUUGCUAAUACCGACAGCUGAUGACGGUACCUGAAGAAUAAGCACCGGCUAACUACGUGCCAGCAGCCGCGGUAAUACGUAGGGUGCGAGCGUUAAUCGGAAUUACUGGGCGUAAAGCGAGCGCAGACGGUUACUUAAGCAGGAUGUGAAAUCCCCGGGCUCAACCUGGGAACUGCGUUCUGAACUGGGUGACUAGAGUGUGUCAGAGGGAGGUAGAAUUCCACGUGUAGCAGUGAAAUGCGUAGAGAUGUGGAGGAAUACCGAUGGCGAAGGCAGCCUCCUGGGAUAACACUGACGUUCAUGCCCGAAAGCGUGGGUAGCAAACAGG